UUGGGUUUAGUGCUAAAA
rnacentral:siRNA from 1 species